UCCGUAGGUGAACCUGCGGAAGGAUCAUUAUUGAAUUACGGGCGAGGGUUGUCGCUGGCCUCUCGGGGCAUGUGCACGCCCGAGCCAUCCCCAACAAACGCCGUGGGCCUUCGGGCCCGCGUAUAUUUACUCUGAAUGUGUAUAGAAUGUAAACCAUUUGUUUGCCCUGAAAAAGCAAACGAAAAAUAGUACAACUUUCAACAACGGAUCUCUUGGCUCUCGCAUCGAUGAAGAACGCAGCGAAAUGCGAUAAGUAAUGUGAAUUGCAGAUUUUCAGUGAAUCAUCGAAUCUUUGAACGCACCUUGCGCCCCUUGGUAUUCCGAGGGGCAUGCCUGUUUGAGUGUCAUUAAAUCCUCAACCGCGCCGAUUGAUUUUCGGUGGGGCUUGGACUUUGGAGCGUGCUGGCGAAGGUCGGCUCCUCUUUAAAUGCAUCAGCGGAAGAAACCUUUGUCUUUCCCGCCUUCGGUGUGAUAAUUGNGUUGCGCCGUGGUGGAACUUCAACGAUCCGCUUACAAUGGUCUUCGGACGAAACCUCAUGUCAUCUUGACCUCAAAUCAGGUAGGACUACCCGCUGAACUUAAGCAUAUCAAUAAGCGGAGGAA
rnacentral:rRNA from 1 species